rnacentral:rRNA from 1 species
GAAGCUGGAGGCAGGCCUAACACAUGCAAGUCGAACCGGGCAGCCAUAAGCUUGCUUCUUUGCUGACGAGUGGCGGACGGGUGAGUAAUGUCUGGGAAACUGCCUGAUGGAGGGGGAUAACUACUGGAAACGGUAGCUAAUACCGCAUAACGUCGCAAGACCAAAGAGGGGGACCUUCGGGCCUCUUGCCAUCGGAUGUGCCCAGAUGGGAUUAGCUUGUUGGUGGGGUAACGGCUCACCUAGGCGACGAUCCCUAGCUGGUCUGAGAGGAUGACCAGCCACACUGGAACUGAGACACGGUCCAGACUCCUACGGGAGGCAGCAGUGGGGAAUAUUGCACAAUGGGCGCAAGCCUGAUGCAGCCAUGCCGCGUGUAUGAAGAAGGCCUUCGGGUUGUAAAGUACUUUCAGCGGGGAGGAAGGGAGUAAAGUUAAUACCUUUGCUCAUUGACGUUACCCGCAGAAGAAGCACCGGCUAACUCCGUGCCAGCAGCCGCGGUAAUACGGAGGGUGCAAGCGUUAAUCGGAAUUACUGGGCGUAAAGCGCACGCAGGCGGUUUGUUAAGUCAGAUGUGAAAUCCCCGGGCUCAACCUGGGAACUGCAUUUGAAACUGGCAAGCUUGAGUCUCGUAAAA